rnacentral:rRNA from 1 species
AGAGUUUGAUCCUGGCUCAGAUUGAACGCUGGCGGCAUGCCUUACACAUGCAAGUCGAACGGCAGCGCGGGAGCUUGCUCCUGGCGGCGAGUGGCGAACGGGUGAGUAAUACAUCGGAACGUGUCCGUUUGUGGGGGACAACCAGCCGAAAGGUUGGCUAAUACCGCAUAAGACCUGAGGGUGAAAGCCGGGGACCGCAAGGCCUGGCGCAGACGGAGCGGCCGAUGAUUGAUUAGCUUGUUGGCGGGGUAAAGGCCCACCAAGGCGACGAUCAAUAGCUGGUCUGAGAGGACGACCAGCCACACUGGAACUGAGACACGGUCCAGACUCCUACGGGAGGCAGCAGUGGGGAAUUUUGGACAAUGGGGGCAACCCUGAUCCAGCCAUGCCGCGUGCGGGAAGAAGGCCUUCGGGUUGUAAACCGCUUUUGUCAGGGACGAAAAGGGACGGGUUAAGAGCUAGUUCCGCUGACGGUACCUGAAGAAUAAGCACCGGCUAACUACGUGCCAGCAGCCGCGGUAAUACGUAGGGUGCAAGCGUUAAUCGGAAUUACUGGGCGUAAAGCGUGCGCAGGCGGUUGGGUAAGACAGAUGUGAAAUCCCCGGGCUUAACCUGGGAACUGCAUUUGUGACUGUCCGACUGGAGUACGUCAGAGGGGGGUGGAAUUCCGCGUGUAGCAGUGAAAUGCGUAGAUAUGCGGAAGAACACCGAUGGCGAAGGCAGCCCCCUGGGACGCAACUGACGCUCAUGCACGAAAGCGUGGGGAGCAAACAGGAUUAGAUACCCUGGUAGUCCACGCCCUAAACGAUGUCUGCCGGUUGUUGGGGAUUUCUAUCUUCAGUAACGAAGCUAACGCGUGAAGCAGACCGCCUGGGGAGUACGGUCGCAAGAUUAAAACUCAAAGGAAUUGACGGGGACCCGCACAAGCGGUGGAUGAUGUGGAUUAAUUCGAUGCAACGCGAAAAACCUUACCUAGCCUUGACAUGUCAGGAAUGCUUCGUAAAUGAGGCAGUGCCCGCAAGGGAACCUGAGCACAGGUGCUGCAUGGCUGUCGUCAGCUCGUGUCGUGAGAUGUUGGGUUAAGUCCCGCAACG